GGCCCUACGGGAGGCAGCAGUCGGGAAUAUUGCGCAAUGGAGGAAACUCUGACGCAGUGACGCCGCGUAUCGGAAGAAGGUUUUCGGAUUGUAAACUAUUGUCGUUAGGGAAGAUAAAAGACAGUACCUAAGGAGGAAGCUCCGGCUAACUACGUGCCAGCAGCCGCGGUAAUACGUAGGGAGCAAGCGUUAUCCGGAUUUAUUGGGUUUAAAGGGUGCGUAGGCGGAUUGAUAAGUUAGAGGUGAAAUGUCCGAGCUCAACUCGGGAACUGCCUCUAAUACUGUUGAUCUAGAGAGUAGAUGCG
rnacentral:rRNA from 1 species